rnacentral:tRNA from 1 species
GCUGAGGUGGUGGAAUUGGUAGACACGCUGUCUUGAGGGGGCAGUGCCUUUCGAGGCGUGCGGGUUCAAGUCCCGCUCUCAGCACCA